rnacentral:rRNA from 1 species
UGCCAAUGAAUAAAUAUAAAUGUGGGAGUAAAAACCAAAAUUUAUGGCGGCUAUAAAACACAUCAGAGAAGUAUGAGACUUAAAACGAGAAUCCACGAAAAUCUCACUUUAGCUUGUACAAAAUAUGGAAGUAACUCUUCCAUAUUUCUAUAGUCUUUAUAUCGCCGUCAAAAUGGACUUGUGUUAAGGUUAAUGUCCCAAGGUUCUGCCCUUCAGAUCAGGUAAAGAUGAAGCUGAUGCUAAAGGUGUUUUGUACCUCAUAGAUAAUACACACAGAAUAACUCGGAAAAGGAAAAUGAAGGUGAAUUUGAAAGUAUUAAUUUUUCAAUAUUAAAUUAAGAAAUAUGAAAUUUAUAGUGUA